rnacentral:rRNA from 1 species
GUGACUGCGUACCUUUUGUAUAAUGGGUCAGCGACUUAUAUUCUGUAGCAAGGUUAACCGAAUAGGGGAGCCGAAGGGAAACCGAGUCUUAACUGGGCGUUAAGUUGCAGGGUAUAGACCCGAAACCCGGUGAUCUAGCCAUGGGCAGGUUGAAGGUUGGGUAACACUAACUGGAGGACCGAACCGACUAAUGUUGAAAAAUUAGCGGAUGACUUGUGGCUGGGGGUGAAAGGCCAAUCAAACCGGGAGAUAGCUGGUUCUCCCCGAAAGCUAUUUAGGUAGCGCCUCGUGAAUUCAUCUCCGGGGGUAGAGCACUGUUUCGGCAAGGGGGUCAUCCCGACUUACCAACCCGAUGCAAACUGCGAAUACCGGAGAAUGUUAUCACGGGAGACACACGGCGGGUGCUAACGUCCGUCGUGAAGAGGGAAACAACCCAGACCGCCAGCUAAGGUCCCAAAGUCAUGGUUAAGUGGGAAACGAUGUGGGAAGGCCCAGACAGCCAGGAUGUUGGCUUAGAAGCAGCCAUCAUUUAAAGAAAGCGUAAUAGCUCACUGGUCGAGUCGGCCUGCGCGGAAGAUGUAACGGGGCUAAACCAUGCACCGAAGCUGCGGCAGCGACACUGUGUGUUGUUGGGUAGGGGAGCGUUCUGUAAGCCUGUGAAGGUGUACUGUGAGGUAUGCUGGAGGUAUCAGAAGUGCGAAUGCUGACAUAAGUAACGAUAAAGCGGGUGAAAAGCCCGCUCGCCGGAAGACCAAGGGUUCCUGUCCAACGUUAAUCGGGGCAGGGUGAGUCGACCCCUAAGGCGAGGCCGAAAGGCGUAGUCGAUGGGAAACAGGUUAAUAUUCCUGUACUUGGUGUUACUGCGAAGGGGGGACGGAGAAGGCUAUGUUGGCCGGGCGACGGUUGUCCCGGUUUAAGCGUGUAGGCUGGUUUUCCAGGCAAAUCCGGAAAAUCAAGGCUGAGGCGUGAUGACGAGGCACUACGGUGCUGAAGCAACAAAUGCCCUGCUUCCAGGAAAAGCCUCUAAGCAUCAGGUAACAUCAAAUCGUACCCCAAACCGACACAGGUGGUCAGGUAGAGAAUACCAAGGCGCUUGAGAGAACUCGGGUGAAGGAACUAGGCAAAAUGGUGCCGUAACUUCGGGAGAAGGCACGCUGAUAUGUAGGUGAAGCGACUUGCUCGUGGAGCUGAAAUCAGUCGAAGAUACCAGCUGGCUGCAACUGUUUAUUAAAAACACAGCACUGUGCAAACACGAAAGUGGACGUAUACGGUGUGACGCCUGCCCGGUGCCGGAAGGUUAAUUGAUGGGGUCAGCGCAAGCGAAGCUCUUGAUCGAAGCCCCGGUAAACGGCGGCCGUAACUAUAACGGUCCUAAGGUAGCGAAAUUCCUUGUCGGGUAAGUUCCGACCUGCACGAAUGGCGUAAUGAUGGCCAGGCUGUCUCCACCCGAGACUCAGUGAAAUUGAACUCGCUGUGAAGAUGCAGUGUACCCGCGGCAAGACGGAAAGACCCCGUGAACCUUUACUAUAGCUUGACACUGAACAUUGAGCCUUGAUGUGUAGGAUAGGUGGGAGGCUU